rnacentral:tRNA from 1 species
UCCCUGGCAGUCCAGUGGCUAAGACUCUGUGCUUCCAAUGUAGGGGGCCUGGGUUCGAUCCCUGGUCAGGGAA